UCAAAUUGAAACACCAGUUCCUGUACAAUCACUGAAGUUAAGCAACAUUGAGACUUGUCAGUACUUUGAUGGAUGACCGCAUGGGAAUGCCAGAUGCUGUAAG